AUAAAAAACAUUUACCAUUUACUGGCAAAACAUUGACUCCAGUAUAAGCCGAGAGUGGUAAAUUUCAGAAAUAAAAAUAGAUACCAAUAAAAUUCCAUUAAUUGAGGCCAGUCCUUUUGCAAGGACAAGAAAGAUCCACCAUAAUCAGAGUAAGCCUUUUUAUCCUGAAAGCUAUCAAGAAAAGAGCACAUUUCCUGAAAGAGAAUCAGGAAAAUAAGAUUUGACGGCAACCAAAAGGUCAGCUGCCUGUCCUCCCAUCCUUUUUGCCUUGUUUUUAUUUUAUGUUGCACUUUGAAAUGGUCAUAUGACUGGUCAAACAACAUUAAUUGAGGCAUCAGUAGGUUGAGGCAUCAGUAGGUUAAAUGUUUUGGAAUAUUUACAUCAAGUUCUAAUUUAAGAUAAGACUGUCCAACUCUGAUCAAAGAAUUAUUCUCACCUUCUUCAAUGUAAAUGUGCUUAUGUAUCCUUUUAAUAAUAAUAGAGUAAAAUAAUACAUGUAAUAAGAAUAAUAAUAAAUACAGGAAAAUAAUACAAGUAAUAAUAAAUAGAGUAAAAUAAUAAAUGCAAUAAUAAUAAUAAGAUCAGAGUGAAAUAAUAAAUGUAUUAAUAAUAAUAAUAAUAAUAAUAAUAAUAAUAAUAAUAAUAAUAAUAAUAGAGUAACAAGUACCACCUUCCAGCAGCAAAGAACUGGUGGGAUCACAAACCUGCAAAAGUAUUGGAAAAUGAACACGCAAAGAUACUGUGGGAUUUCCGAAUCCAGGCUGACAAAGUUCUGGAACACAACACACCAGACAUCACAGUUGUGGAAAAGAAAAAGGUUUGGAUCAUUGAUGUCGCCAUCCCAGUGACAAAAAACAACAGGAAAAACUCAGCCACUAUCAGGACCUCAAGAUUGAACUUCAAAGACUCUGGCAGAAACCAGUGCAGGUGGUCCCGGUGGUGAUCGGCAACACUCCAGAAGACACCACCAAAGUGGUGGAAAUAAUAAUAAUAAUAAUAAUAAUAAUAAUAAUAAUAAUAAGUGUACCGGUGGUGAUGGGUAUACUGGGUGCCAUGUCAAAAGAUCUCAGCUUGCAUUUGGAAAGAAUAAACAUUGACAAAAUUACGAUCUGCCAACUGCAAAAGGCCACCCAACUGGGAUCUGCACACAUCAUCCGAAAAUACAUCACACAGUCCUAGACACUUGGGAAGUGUUCGACUUGUGAUUUUGUGAUACGAAAUCCAGCAUAUCUAUCUUGUUUGCUGUG
rnacentral:lncRNA from 1 species